rnacentral:rRNA from 1 species
GAUGAACGCUGGCGGCGUGCCUAAUACAUGCAAGUCGAACGCUGGAAAUCUAGCUUGCUAGAUUGAAGGAGUGGCGAACGGGUGAGUAAUACAUAAGCAACCUACCCACGAAGACUGGGAUAAUCUCUGGAAACGGGGACUAAUACCGGAUAGGUAAUCGGAAGGCAUCUUCUGAUUAUUAAAGGUUAAAAACACUGGUGGAUGGGCUUAUGGCGCAUUAGUUAGUUGGUGAGGUAACGGCCCACCAAGACGAUGAUGCGUAGCCGGCCUGAGAGGGUGAACGGCCACAUUGGGACUGAGACACGGCCCAGACUCCUACGGGAGGCAGCAGUAGGGAAUUUGCGGCAAUGGGGGAAACCCUGACCGAGCAACGCCGCGUGAGUGAGGACGGCCUUCGGGUUGUAAAGCUCUGUUGUAAGGGAAGAACGGUAGAUAGAGAAUAUCUAAAUGACGGUACCUUACCAGAAAGCCACGGCUAACUACGUG